rnacentral:lncRNA from 10 species
CGCCACUGCACUCCAGCACAGGUGACAGAGCCAGACCCUGACUCAAAACAAUAAAAAUAAAAAAAUAAAAAAUAAAUAGAAAAUAUUGAAUAAGCAUGGUUGUGUUCUAGUAAAAUUUUCAGUAACAAUAACAGUAAAAUUUGAAUUUCACAUAAUUUUCAUGUAUCAUGAAAUAUUAUUUUGAUUUUUUUCCCAACAAACUAAAAAUUUCAAAAUCAUCCUUAGCUCAUGAGCCCAUACAAAAAAAUGAACAAUGGGAAAGACCUGGCCUGGGUGAGUUUGCCAACCUUUCCCUAGAAAGAAGAGUGAGAAGAAAUGAUCUAAGAAACAAAUUUCUGAAAAGCUAUGCAAAGCUAGGAAAAAUAUAUGCAGUUUCAUUUUUACAUAUAUGAAACGCCUUGGUAACCUAUUUUCAAAAAUCUGUUUUGUAGAGAUGGGGGUCUCACUAUGUUGCCCAGGUGGGUCUCAAAUUCCUGGGCUCAAGCAAUCUUCCCACCUCAGCCUCCCAAAGUGCUGGGAUUACAAGCAUGUGCCACCACACCUACCCUUCAAAAUUCCUUUGCUCCAAGAAAGUUACAAGAAUAAAUCCCAAUUAACUUUGCUAUUGCUAACUAUUCUAGAACCAGUAUGCUGACACCAAAACAAAUUCUCCUCACCUACAUUUUAUAAAGAUAUCAAGAGGUGGAAAUAAAAAGUACUAUGAUAAUGAAUAUGCUAUUUUUCCCAUAAAAAUAUAAGUAUCUUGAUAGCCAAUUCAUUUUACCCUAAAACAAUUCGAGAUCCUGCUGUGUUCAUAAUGUGCUCAUUUGUGGGCUCAGCAAUGUAGGUUUCUGAUUUCCAUUUAUAUCAACUGAUAAAACUUCUUUAUCCGUUAAGAAAAGAAUAGAAAAGAGGCUAGCUUUAUACUUGAUAUUUUGUCCCUAAAUAUUUAGCUUUCCAAGACAGCUAGGCAGACAUGUAAAUGGCAAUGGUUCUUCCCUGACCUAAUCUACCCUCUCUCAUCCACAUUUCCCUGUUAGGGCCCCUACCCUGCUAAAGAGGUUCAUCGAAAGGAUACUAAUGUGACAGCUCAGCAAUCAUCUCUGAGAGAAGACUGAUGGCAGCAUUAAGUGUUCUCAAAUAUUUUUAAAUAGUCAAGAAGUUUAAAAUAUUCUGAAAGGGAGUCCUUUCCCCAAAUUUUUAGAGUUUUUAAAUCACUUAGAAUCAGAUAACCAUUGUUCUUUCUUGUGGUAUAUGCAAACUAGAAAACUCAAGUUAAAACAUGAGUUACAUAAUUUGAUUAUUGAUUUAUCAGUAACAUCAAAGCAUAUUUGAAAAACAGAUUGACAACCAAAACAAUGAGCCCAAUUUUGGAGGAAAACACUUCUAUUAUUUAACUUAAGUUUUACUAAGUAUAUUUUGGAAAUAACCUAUACGAAAUAAAAUAUUCAAGUAAGAAAUUCCCUAGAUGUAUGCAAUUAUAUUAAUUUUUUUCAUGAGGUUAAGGUUAUUUAUUUUUUAUGGAUGCAUAAUAGAUGUACAUAGUUUUAGGGUAUGUGUGAUAAUUUAAUACAUUCAUAUAAUCUGUAACGAUCAAAUCAGUGUACUUGGGAUAUCCACAUCUUAAACAUUUGUCUUUUCUUCAUGCUAGAACCAUUCCAAUUCUCUUCUACCUAUUUUGAAAUACAGUACAAGCUAUAGUCAUCCUACUGAAGAUCUUAAAUCCUUUGAAAGAAUAAUUACCUUUUUGAACAGAGAACCAAUUUCAAAAUAGUGUGCACACACUUCAACUUUAGUGAAAUGUAAAAGCCAUCAUUAGCUUGGACCACAGAAAAACAAGCAGCAAGCCAUGCAUGGUGGAGAGCACCUAUAGUACCAGCUAUUCAGGAGGCUGAGGCAGGAUUACAUGAGCCCAGGAGUUAGAGGCCAGCCUGGGCAACAUAGUGAGACCCUAUCUCUUAAAAAAAAGAAAGAAAACAGGCAGCAGAAAAGAUCUGAACAGUGAGCAGUGUGCCAACCUCUAAUCCUAACAUUCAUAAAUUUAAAAAAAUAACACGAAACAUUUGUGUUUAGUAAAAUACCUAGAAUACACAGUAGCUUUGUGAGGAGGCACAUACGGGAUAUUUGUUUGAACUCAUAAACAGCACUGAAAUAGUGAAUAAGAAUUUGAAUGGUUAAGCACAAGAACUUUUUUUUAAGAGACAGAGUGUUGCUCUGUUGUACAGGCUGAACUCAAACUCCAGGGCUCAAGUCAUCCUCCUACCUCAGCCUCUGACGAAGCUGGGACUCCGGGCAUGCACCAAGAAGUCCAGGUAAGAAUUUUUUUAAUCCAUGUCUAAAAGCACUUACUCAGUCUGAAUCACAAACAAUUGUGAGGAAUAUCAUAUAUGGCUUAGAAUGCUUCAUGAUUUUUGGAAAGCAUUAUUUAAAUCUUUUGAAAGAAUUUUCAUUUAUUCUAAUUUUUAAACUAGAAAUAGUCUGAC